UGGACACACUCUGCUGGACACGCUCACCUCCAUCUGGGCCUCAGGUUGCCUAGGCUGCCUGCGCUGUGUGCUGCUCCAGCAGCUCAGUCCAGCUUUGCAAUGCGGCGCCUGGGGCUUCAAGGCAACUUGCCCAGGUCCCAGAGUGGCUCAGAGAUGACACUGGGAUCCAGGCUCCACUGGACUAGGCAGAACAUGCAAUCCCAAAGCAGAAUGCGUCUGCUGCCACGAGGUCCUGGAGAGGUCUCCCAGUGACUGGGAGAGACAGCAGGGACCAUGGACACAUGCCAGUGCCCAGGAGGACUAUGUGGUGCCGUAGGAGUUUAUAGUAGAGAAGAUUCCUGAAUUUCAGAGAAGUGUUCCCUGGGGCAAUGCUUCAGCAAACAUCUGAGCCAAACAAGAAGCCAGUCUCUGUGAUGUGAGGACGCCCGAGCAGCACUGUGGAGAGACCUGCAUAGAGAGGUGCCUCAGCCUCCUGCCAACACCGUGCGUGGAGCCGUCUUGGUGUGGAGCAAGCUUGGGUGAUCACGGCAGGGAUAUCCCCAAUGCAAGCCGUGAGGGAGCCUGAAACAGAUCUGCCCAGGGUGCCUGCAGGCAAAUUCUCCACCACGGAAACUGUGAGGGAUGAGAACUCUUAUUUAUUGUUUCUGGCUGCUACAUUUUGGCUAAAUGUGUAAUAAAUAACA